UGACGUCAAGUACAUCAUGGCCCUUACGGCCUGGGCUACACACGUGCUACAAUGGUCGGUACAAAGGGUUGCCAAGCCGCGAGGUGGAGCUAAUCCCAUAAAACCGAUCGUAGUCCGGAUCGCAGUCUGCAACUCGACUGCGUGAAGUCGGAAUCGCUAGUAAUCGUGAAUCAGAAUGUCACGGUGAAUACGUUCCCGGGCCUU
rnacentral:rRNA from 1 species